UGCAGCAUGAGCCGGUGCCUGCUCGUCUCUUGUCCUGCUCCCACUACCGCCAUCCGCGGCACUAUGGAGCAGAUCCGGAGGCGGGCGUGGCUGAGAUUAUACGGCCUUGACUUGAUCUGGAUAAUACCAGCGAAAGGAUCAUGCCUCACCCUUAG
rnacentral:ncRNA from 1 species